GGGUCAUUAGCUCAACGGUAGAGCAGUUGCCUCUUAAGCAAUUGGUUCCGUGUUCGAAUCACGGAUGACCCA
rnacentral:tRNA from 1 species